GCAGCCGCUGCCGCCUAUUCCGGAUCUCAUUGCCGCGUGUCCCGGACGACCGCCUGACGUGCAUUCCCGAUUCCUUUUGGUUCCAAGUCCAAUAUGGCAACUCUCAAGGAUCAGCUGAUUCAUAAUCUUCUAAAGGAAGAACAGACUCCCCAGAAUAAGAUUACAGUUGUUGGGGUUGGUGCUGUUGGCAUGGCCUGUGCCAUCAGUGUCUUAAUGAAGGACUUGGCAGAUGAACUUGCUCUUGUUGAUGUCAUCGAAGACAAAUUGAAGGGAGAGAUGAUGGAUCUCCAACAUGGCAGCCUUUUCCUUAGAACACCAAAGAUUGUCUCUGGGAAAGACUAUAGUGUAACUGCAAACUCCAAGCUGGUCAUUAUCACUGCUGGGGCACGUCAACAGAGGGAGAAAGCCGUCUUAAUUUGGUCCAGCGUAACGUGAACAUCUUUAAAUUCAUCGUUCCUAAUGUUGUAAAAUACAGCCCGAACUGCAAGUUGCUUAUUGUUUCAAAUCCAGUGGAUAUCUUGACCUACGUGGCUUGGAAGAUAAGUGGUUUUCCCAAAAACCGUGUUAUUGGAAGUGGUUGCAAUCUGGAUUCGGCCAGAUUCCGUUACCUGAUGGGGGAAAGACUGGGAGUUCACCCAUUAAGCUGUCAUGGGUGGGUCCUUGGGGAACAUGGAGAUUCCAGUGUGCCUGUAUGGAGUGGAAUGAAUGUUGCUGGUAUCUCCCUGAAGACUCUGCACCCAGAUUUAGGGACUGAUAAAGAUAAGGAACAGUGGAAAGAGGUUCACAAGCAGGUGGUUGAGAGUGUUUAUGAGGUGAUCAAACUCAAAGGCUAUACAUCCUGGGCCAUUGGACUCUCUGUAGCAGAUUUGGCAGAGAGUAUAAUGAAGAAUCUUAGGCGAGUGCACCCAGUUUCCACCAUGAUUAAGGGUCUCUAUGGAAUAAAGGAUGAUGUCUUCCUUAGUGUUCCUUGCAUUUUGGGACAGAAUGAAAUCUCAGACCUUGUGAAGGUGACUCUGACUCCUGAGGAAGAGGCCCGUUUGAAGAAAAGUGCAGAUACACUUUGGGGAAUCCAAAAAGAGCUUCAAUUUUAAAGUCUUCUGAUAUCAUAGCAUUUUACUGUCUAGGAUACAACAGGAUUCUAGUUGGAGGUUGUGCAUGUCCUUUUUAUCUGAUCUGUGAUUAAAGCAGUAAUAUUUUA